rnacentral:tRNA from 1 species
GCCGCUGUGGUGUAAUUGGCAGGCACGAGGGCCUUAAGCUCCUUUGCUGGAAACAGCGUACGGGUUCAAGUCCCGUUGGCGGCA